rnacentral:rRNA from 1 species
GACGAACGCUGGCGGCGUGCUUAACACAUGCAAGUCGAACGGAAAGGCCCUGCUUUUGUGGGGUGCUCGAGUGGCGAACGGGUGAGUAACACGUGAGUAACCUGCCCUUGACUUUGGGAUAACUUCAGGAAACUGGGGCUAAUACCGGAUAGGAGCUCCUGCUGCAUGGUGGGGGUUGGAAAGUUUCGGCGGUUGGGGAUGGACUCGCGGCUUAUCAGCUUGUUGGUGGGGUAGUGGCUUACCAAGGCUUUGACGGGUAGCCGGCCUGAGAGGGUGACCGGCCACAUUGGGACUGAGAUACGGCCCAGACUCCUACGGGAGGCAGCAGUGGGGAAUAUUGCACAAUGGGCGGAAGCCUGAUGCAGCAACGCCGCGUGCGGGAUGACGGCCUUCGGGUUGUAAACCGCUUUCGCCUGUGACGAAGCGUGAGUGACGGUAAUGGGUAAAGAAGCACCGGCUAACUACGUGCCGGCAGCCGCGGUGAUACGUAGGGUGCGAGCGUUGUCCGGAUUUAUUGGGCGUAAAGGGCUCGUAGGUGGUUGAUCGCGUCGGAGGUGUAAUCUCGGGGCUUAACCCUGAGCGUGCUUUCGAUACGGGUUGACUUGAGGAAGGUAGGGGAGAAUGGAAUUCCUGGUGGAGCGGUGGAAUGCGCAGAUAUCAGGAGGAACACCAGUGGCGAAGGCGGUUCUCUGGGCCUUUCCUGACGCUGAGGAGCGAAAGCGUGGGGAGCGAACAGGCUUAGAUACCCUGGUAGUCCACGCUGUAAACGGUGGGUACUAGGUGUGGGGUCCAUUCCACGGGUUCCGUGCCGUAGCUAACGCUUUAAGUACCCCGCCUGGGGAGUACGGCCGCAAGGCUAAAACUCAAAGGAAUUGACGGGGCCCCGCACAAGCGGCGGAGCAUGCGGAUUAAUUCGAUGCAACGCGUAGAACCUUACCUGGGUUUGACAUGGAUCGGGAGUGCUCAGAGAUGGGUGUGCCUCUUUUGGGGUCGGUUCACAGGUGGUGCAUGGCUGUCGUCAGCUCGUGUCGUGAGAUGUUGGGUUAAGUCCCGCAACGAGCGCAACCCUUGUUCACUGUUGCCAGCACGUUAUGGUGGGGACUCAGUGGAGACCGCCGGGGUCAACUCGGAGGAAGGUGGGGAUGACGUCAAGUCAUCAUGCCCCUUAUGUCCAGGGCUUCACGCAUGCUACAAUGGCUGGUACAGAGAGUGGCGAGCCUGUGAGGGUGAGCGAAUCUCGGAAAGCCGGUCUCAGUUCGGAUUGGGGUCUGCAACUCGACCUCAUGAAGUCGGAGUCGCUAGUAAUCGCAGAUCAGCAACGCCGCGGUGAAUACGUUCCCGGGGCU